rnacentral:ribozyme from 1 species
UGCACACACCAAAAGAACCAAAGAAAGGAGAACCAAAGAGAGAAGAAGAAAAAGAAGAAGAGCCAUCCCUUCUUCUUCUCUUACCACCCCUUCUUCUUCUUUUUCUUCUUCUUCUUUUUCUCCUUCUUAUUCUUUUUCUUCUUGUUUCUCCGUUUUUCUAGUGAAUGCUCUCUCAUCAUCAUCAUUAUUAUUGUCACUACAAAACGAGGUGGAAAUAAUGGAAACGAAGAAAUGAAGAGACCUGCUAGUGAUUGUGG